rnacentral:rRNA from 1 species
CACGUAGGGUGCGAGCGUUGUCCGGAAUUAUUGGGCGUAAAGAGCUCGUAGGCGGUUUUGUUGCGUCGGCUGUGAAAUCCCCGAGGCUCAACCUCGGGUCUGCAGUCGAUACGAGCAAACUAGAGUGUUGCAGGGGAGACUGGAAUUCCUGGUGUAGCGGUGAAAUGCGCAGAUAUCAGGAGGAACACCGGUGGCGAAGGCGGGUCUCUGGACCGUAACUGACGCUGAGAACACGAAAGCCGUGGGUAGCAAACAGG